GUUCCAAUGUUUCAAACCACAAUUCUCCGAAAGGCGAAAGAGAAAUCUAUUGACUGCAACAAUCGGUUACAACUCCGACUGGGUGCCACCUUCGAAACAGCGAUUUGAUCUGUUCAUUUGGCUCGUACGAAUGUUACGGAAGCAAUGCGCAACUUGUUUCACAAGAAGCCGAAGAUGUCUCGUCCGGGAUGCUGUGCCAACCUUAUCUGCAGCAGGAGAUUGCAGGGGCAGGAUUAGGCAGCAGAUAAAGGCAUUCUGGCACCACCGAAAAGCUUGCGCACCACGUCUCAACUAUCACCGUCUGGGUUUCAAGCUGAAGGCUGUCACCAGUCGCCCAUUCAAAGUUCAUCUGUUUUUGUUGACGGAACAGUAACACCUGGUAAACCUGUCACGCAGAUGCCCUACCCCUUGGUAUGCAUAGUUCAAGAUUGUACCAAAACAAUCCACCUGGAGCAUUAUUCUUCAAUUGGCAGUGGCAUUACUAUCACAACACACCACAUACUGCAUGUCUAUGGUGUGUGUACAAUGCAUCAAACCUAUUCUCAGGUACAGGCCAGCUGGUACGCAAUUACAACAUGAAACAACUGACACAGAAACCGUAAAGUCAUGCCUUUU